GCCUGCUUGGCUAAGUGGUAAAGCGUCGCACUUGUACCGUAAAGGAGGACAUGCGAAGAUCAUCAGUUCGAUUCUGAUAGUAGGCA